rnacentral:rRNA from 1 species
UACGUAGGUGGCGAGCGUUGUCCGGAAUUACUGGGUGUAAAGGGCGUGUAGGCGGGGACAUAAGUCAGAUGUGAAAUACCGAAGCUUAACUUCGGGGCUGCAUCUGAAACUAUGUUCUUGAGUGUCGGAGAGGAAAGUGGAAUUCCCAGUGUAGCGGUGAAAUGCGUAGAUAUUGGGAGGAACACCAGUGGCGAAGGCGACUUUCUGGACGAUAACUGACUGCUG